AAUUAAAAUGUAAAUGCAUUUAUCAAAAGAAGAGGAAAAAAUUGAACCCUGAGCUUUAACUGCUUUAUGAUUUUACUUCUUCAGAAAGCAAUUUUGCUAUCUACAUCUCAACAACAUAAGUAGUCAGACCCUGCAACAUCCAUUUGGAGUCUUACUAAUAAGUGACUGGCUGUUCGUUUCUAGAGGUCCAAAGGUUUGUUUUUGUAAAACUGCAUUGAAAAAUGGGUGGGGGAGGUGGGGGAAGGAACAGACAGACAGAUAGACAGAGAGAGAAAUUAUUUUGUGUUUCUCUUCUUUCUGUUUAAGAUGUUCUUUGUGUUUUUUUAUAGAUCAGUACUAUACUAGAUAGGAUAUGAGUUACUCAUGUCUUUGUAGGGAAAAAAGAAAAGAUGGAAAAGAAGCAAUACACAAAAUGAGCUUAUUUACAAUGAAAUGUAGCAGUUAAUAAACUGAAUAAAGUGCCUAUUUUAAGUUUAGUUGCUGAUGGUUUAUUUUUUUCCCUUAGCUUCAGGAAAAGAAUAUUGCUUUUCAGUUGGCCUCUUGCCUUGACUGAUGAGAUGUUAACAGCUCCUAAGAAGAAGAAAAUCCAUAUGCCAAAGACGACCGUGGGCUCAAUUUCCUACAGAGGAAGAGUGUUGGAUGAAGCAUGGAAGCAGUGAAACCUGGAUCACUUGUUCGGAAUCUAAGAGAAUCCAUCUGAGUUUCCUGCCCAGCUGGAGUUGAUUCAAACCCAAAUCUCUUGCUUUUCUCACAGAAGAGAGGCCCAGCCACUACGAUAUAGGCUACAGAGGACAGAGUGGAGUAUGAGGAGGCAGAGAGCCUCUGUUGUCUCUCUGAAUGAAGCUGUUCCACUGUGCAAAAAAGCCUUCAAAAUUCAAUAGGUUAAAAGAGAGGCUAAGAGGAAAUAUAGUCACACAUAGUGUAUAAUCUAGUAAUUUGUGCCUUCACCUGGCAGAAGGACAUCUGCACACCAUCCCUGCUCCGGCACCUAUCUGCAUGCUUUUAUAUGGAAAAAUCAUUGGAUAAAAUAAAAAAAAAAUCUAGACCUA
rnacentral:lncRNA from 1 species